UCGACUAGCAUGCGAGUCGAUGUAGCAAUACAUGGCGUACUGCUCAGUAACACGCGGUACAACCUACCCUCCGGACGGGUAUAAACCCGGGAAACUGGGUAUAAUCCCCGAUAGAUCUCGGUCGCUGGAAUGCUCCGAGAUCGAAAGCUCCGGCGCCGGAGGAUGGGUCUGCGGCCUAUCAGGUAGUAGUGGGUGUAGCGUACCUACUAGCCUACGACGGGUACGGGUUGUGAGAGCAAGAGCCCGGAGAUGGAUUCUGAGACACGAAUCCAGGCCCUACGGGGUGCAGCAGGCGCGAAAACUUUACAAUGCCGGCAACGGCGAUAAGGGGACCUCGAGUGCCAGGUUACAAAUCUGGCUGUCGUGAUGCCUAAAAAGCAUUGCAUAG
rnacentral:rRNA from 1 species